rnacentral:pre_miRNA from 1 species
AGUGGGAUAGCUAGGUCAAAUGGUGGUUCAAUUCUCAGUUUUCUAAGGAAUCUCCAUAUUGCUUUCCAUAGUGGUUGUACCAAUUUGCAGUCCCACCAGCAAU